AUUUAUACCAGUUUUUAUUAACAAUUUAUAUAUAUAUAGAUAUAUUGAGAAAUAAUAUUUAAAAUUUCUAGUUGCAUAUCCAGAGGUUACCGACAAUGACAAUGGCAAGAAAAACCCUACUAAUAUGCUCCGGGCUUACAAGCGUACUAAUACUUCGAUGGUUAGCACAUUCGAUAAUAAAACGUCAAAAGAAAGCAAAAAACGAGCAAAAGAAACUAAAAGCUCAGAGUAAAAGAGCCGAACAGUUAAAUAACCUAAAAGCCGAAUUAAAGCAAUUUUCUUUCGAAAAAUCAGAAGAAAUACUUAAUCUAACUGUUCCUGAACUUCUAGAAAAGUUAAUCAAAGGAGAAUUAACAUCACUGCAGGUUGUUUCAACCUACCAGAAAGCCGCGUUAGCUUCUCACGAUCAAACAAACUGUCUUGUAGAAAUUAUUAACGAAAGCAAAGAACUCUGUAAUAGUCCAAUACAACAAGGACAACUACUAUACGGCAUUCCAGUAUGUUUGAAGGAAGAUAUUGGCCUUAAGGGUUAUACCACAUGUUUUGGUUGUGCUAAGUGGUUAGAACAACCCCUAAUCGAAGAUUCCGUUAUAGUUAAAGUGCUUAAGCAUCAUGGAGCUAUUCCAUUUGUUAGAACAAAUCUUUGCCAAAUGACAUUGACGUACGAAAGCUCCAAUCCAAUUUAUGGUGAAACUCUCAAUGCUGUCCAAAAUGAUCGAAGUCCCGGCGGUUCUAGCAGUGGUAAUGGAGCAUUAAUCGGAAGCGGGGGAAGUCCUAUAGGAAUCGGCUCUGAUAUGGGUGGUUCCCUGAGACUACCUGCACAUUUUAAUGGCAUUGUCGCUCUUAAACCUUCCGUUGGUAGAGUAAGUUCGAAAGGUUGUAAACCACUCUUUCCCGGUAGAGAAAUAAAUCCACCGGCAUAUGGACCACAAGGAAAAGAUGUUCAAUCAGUUGUUUCCCUUAUGAAGGCUUUAGCUUCGAAUAUAAUGUAUGAACUAGACGAAACAAUUCCACCGCUGCCUUUCAACAACGACCUAUACGAAUCAAAGAAAAAUUUCCGCAUUGGUUAUUUCGACUUUAAUGGGGUUUUUCCAGCUGUUCCCGCUGUAAAACGAGCAGUAGAGCACACGAAGAACAUAUUAUCAAACAAGGGCUAUGAAAUGGUAAAUUGUAGUAGUUGGCAUGAGCAAAUUCAAUUUCAAGUUGGAGUUGAGCUGAUUACUGAUCAUACAUUGAUAGACGGAUGUAAAGAAAUGAUGGCGGCACUUGAUAAUGAGGAACUAGAUGCUUCGUUCCAACAAUUUAUAGGAUUCCUGAGGAUGCCUAAAUUUAUCCAGCGUCUAAUUGCUCACAUGGUUUCUCUCUCAGAUCAGAGUACUGGAAGGAUUUUGGCUAAGAUGAUAAAUAGAGACGCCUCAGUUACUAAAUUAUUUGAACAUGGUCGAAUUAAACAAGAAUAUAAAGAGAAGAUUCGUUCUUUAUGGGAAAGUGAAAACUUAGACGCUAUUAUAUGUCCACCUUGCGGUGUUUACGCACCUCCCCCAAAAAAGUAUAUGAAUGCUGUUGGACCCGCUACAACUUAUGCCUCUGCUUGGAAUAUUACAAACUACGUGGCAGGUGUUGUUCCAGUAACAACUGUUAACGAAAAGGAUGAAAAAGAUCUUGAUCAAUAUCUGGAAUCUAACAAAAGCAAUCCACUCGCUAAAUUAACUUGUGAGGGAUCCCGAGGAGGUGUCGGUCUACCAGUUGGUAUUCAAGUCAUAACUCCACCAUUUAGAGAGGAAACUUGCUUGAAUAUUAUGAGACAAAUCGAAAAAGGAGUAAAAUAUUAAAGAUACUGAGAGAGAAAAAGGUGAUACAGAUAAGAAUGAAAUUUAUUAGAUUAGUGCCUAACAUUUAUCUUUAUACUAACGACUUUUGUUUUUUAAAAAAGAAACAAACACGAAUCAUCUAUUAAUCUUCUUUUCUAUCUCCUUUGAAUAUAUAUUCAUUAUUUAAAUUUAUUUGCUGUUUAGUAAUUCUACUUGAUGUAUCCGAUAGUUCAUCCUUUAAAUCUGUUCUAUCAGAUUUUUCUUCAAAUUCCGAAAGUACUGUACUUUUUAUUAUUUGGAUACUUUCCUCUUUGUGGUCGGAACAAUCUGCUGUUUGUGUAUCUUUUUUAGAGUUUGAAUAACUUAUCGAAUCAAUAUGCAAUUGGCUUGCAACGGCCUUCUCUCUAUCCCUUUCUAACGAGGUUCCAGAGUUAUGCCGUAAAUCUUCGAAAUUCAAUGAAUGACCCUCAUUAGUAAUAUCACUAUCGCGUCUGUCCUUCGUAUCACUUUUGCAGCUAGCGUUUUCAGGUGGAAUUUGAUGUAUUUCUUGUUGAUUAUUCUCCUCAGUUUUGAAUGUAUCAUUUGGUAAUCUAUCUACUUCCCCUCUUAAUCUCAUUCCGUAAUCCUUUAAUUCGGGUGAUUUAGGACUGGAACUUUCGAUUUUCACCUCUUUUCCUUUAUCAUUUUGAACUGUAACCUCAGUGUUUAAUUGAGAAUUCUCAGAAGCUUGAAUAACUUCGCUAGACGUAUUAUUUUCGUAUAGUUCCCUACACUCGUCUGUAUUUAAUCUUUGAGAAUCCUCCAUGGUAUUCGGUGUCAAUCUUCCACAGUCUUCUCGAGCUUCUAUCAACUCUCCUUGGUCUUUAUCAAAUUCUUUAGCUGAUUUAUCGGUACUUUCGAAUGUUUGAGAUGGGAGAGUCAUUUCAGAAAUGCUACAGAAUAUAAACGAUGCUCUCGAUUCAGUAUGAGAAUCUGUUUUGCUAAAUUCUGACUUUUCUUUGACAAGAUUUUCAACAGUUGCCUUGACUCUCCUAAUGCCCUUCUCAUCGGGUUUAUCGACAGAACUAUGGAGGAAUUUUUGACCAGUUUUAGGAUGAAUAUCGAAUUUUUCAAUCUGCCUGAUAACCUCAUCACAAAAUGAGUUAUCUACAUUCGAAUCUAAACCUCUAACGUCAUCAAUUUCAAGUCCUUCGAAUCUUUUACAAAAUUCGUCUUCUACUAACCUCGAACUGUCGAACCGUUCUGAUAUAUUUGUUCUUAGGAGGCUUUGUAUCAGUCUUUCGCACGAAUCGGUGAGUACAAUCCUUUCUAAUUUUGGUAGUCCUCUUUUGAUAUUAUAGUAAACUUGCUUGGGGGUUGUUCCUGGAAAAGGAAAGUGACCUCGUAAGCAGACGUAAAGAACUAUUCCAAUACUCCAUAAGUCGGCUUUAGUAGCGACGUAUUCGCGUUGCAGCAAAACUUCGGGAGCGGCGUAUUGAAGGUUACCAACAAAAGUUGUUGACCAAAUAAUUCCCAAGGCUCUUGGAUCAUUUAGAUUAUCCGUUGCUACUCCAAAAUCCGAUAAUUUCAAACUAUCGUGCUUAUCGAGAAGCAAAUUUGAGCAUUUAAUAUCUCUAUGAGCUAUUCCCUAAAGAGUUGUACAAAUAUUUGGCAAUUAAUUCUUAAUUGGCUUUUAUAGUUAUUAUAAAAACCUUAUUGUGUAAAUAAUCUAUGGCUUUAGCUAAUUGUGCAAUCCAUACUCCGACAACCGGCUCUGGUAGACGAAAGUGGCGAGUAACUUCAUCUCUAACGGUUCUGCCAGAUAAUCUCUCCAUGAUAAUAUAUACCCGAUUAGCGGUCUCAGCCCCGGCCACACAUUUAACGAUGUUCGUAUGAGAUACUUUAGAGGUUAUUCGUAGCUCUCUCUUGAUAAAUUUAUCAAAAUGGACAGUUCUUCCUUUCUUAAUUAACCUAGCUUUAUCAUAUAUUUUUAUAGCUACUUCUUUACCAGUUUUUAUAGAAUAUCCAGAUAGAACAAUUGCUGUGCUACCACGUCCGAUUUCAACAUCAUUUCGAUGGAAACCUAGAAUUUCUAAAACAGUUUUAUCUUUUUUACCAAUACUACAUUUGUCUUGGGAAAUUCCUGUGCUAGAUUUAUGCCAGGUUAAUACUUGGAAGAGACGCUUAAUAAGAUUGCCUGAGCUAGAUUUUGACAAUUCCUCCUAACAAUAUUGUUUGUAUUAUUAACAAGAAUCUCCUAAUCGAAAUAAUCAGUUUUACCUCUUUUCUUACUUUACG
rnacentral:misc_RNA from 1 species